rnacentral:rRNA from 1 species
GCUAAGAAUCUUCCGCAAUGGGCGAAAGCCUGACGGAGCGACGCCGCGUGAACGAAGAAGGCCGUGAGGUUGUAAAGUUCUUUUCGGGAGGGGGAACAACCGUGGCAGGGAAUGGCCGCGGGAUGACGUGAAUCCCGGAAUAAGCCCCGGCUAACUACGUGCCAGCAGCCGCGGUAACACGUAGGGGGCGAGCGUUGUUCGGAAUCAUUGGGCGUAAAGGGCGUGCAGGCGGUUCUGCAAGUCCGGCGUGAAAGACCCCGGCCCAACCGGGGGGACGCGCUGGAAACUGCAGGGCUUGAGUACAGGAGGGGAUGCCGGAAUUCCAGGUGUAGGGGUGAAAUCUGUAGAUAUCUGGAAGAACACCAAUGGCGAAGGCAGGCAUCUGGCCAUGUACUGACGCUGAGACGCGAAGGUGCGGGGAGCAAACAGGUUUAGAAACCCUAGUAGUCC